rnacentral:misc_RNA from 1 species
AAGUCGUAACAAGGUUUCCGUAGGUGAACCUGCGGAAGGAUCAUUACCUAGAGUUUGUGGGACUUCGGUCUGCUACCUCUUACCCAUGUCUUUUGAGUACCUUCGUUUCCUCGGCGGGUCCGCCCGCCGGUUGGACAACAUUCAAACCCUUUGCAGUUGCAAUCAGCGUCUGAAAAAACUUAAUAGUUACAA